CAAUUACUAUGUGGAUUGCU
rnacentral:miRNA from 1 species